rnacentral:rRNA from 1 species
GUUGUAUGGUUAAGUGACUAAGCGUAGACGGUGGAUGCCUUGGCAGUCAGAGGCGAUGAAGGACGUAUUAACUUGCGAAAAGCCCAGAUAAGGCAGUAAAAGCCAUUUGAAUCUGGGAUAUCCGAAUGGGGAAACCCACCUGCAUAAGCAGGUAUCUUAGCGUGAAYACAUAGCGCUAAGAGGCGAACUCGGGGAACUGAAACAUCUAAGUACCCGAAGGAAAAGAAAUCAAUUGAGAUUCCGGCAGUAGCGGCGAGCGACCCCGGAUUAGCCCUUAAGCAGACUUGGCGUUAGGUGAACAGGUUGGAAAACCUGGCAAUAAAGGGUGAUAGCCCCGUAACCGACGGCGCCAUAUUUGUGAAAACGAGUARGACGGGACACGUGAUAUCUUGUCUGAACAUGGGGGGACCAUCCUCCAAGGCUAAAUACUCCUGACUGACCGAUAGUGAACCAGUACCGUGAGGGAAAGGCGAAAAGAACCCCUGUGAGGGGAGUGAAAUAGAACCUGAAACCGUCUACGUACAAGCAGUGGGAGCCUCCUUUGUGGGGUGACCGCGUACCUUUUGUAUAAUGGGUCAGCGACUUAAUGUUAGUAGCAAGGUUAACCGCAUAGGGGAGCCGUAGGGAAACCGAGUCUUAACUGGGCGYGUAGUUGCUAGCAUUAGACCCGAAACCGAGUGAUCUAGCCAUGGGCAGGUUGAAGGUUGAGUAACAUCAACUGGAGGACCGAACUCACUAACGUUGAAAAGUUAGGAGAUGACCUGUGGCUAGGGGUGAAAGGCCAAUCAAACUCGGAGAUAGCUGGUUCUCCCCGAAAGCUAUUUAGGUAGCGCCUCGGACGAACACUACUGGGGGUAGAGCACUGUUAAGGCUAGGGGGUCAUCCCGACUUACCAACCCUUUGCAAACUCCGAAUACCAGUAAGUGCUAUCCGGGAGACACACGGCGGGUGCUAACGUCCGUCGUGGAGAGGGAAACAACCCAGACCGCCAGCUAAGGUCCCAAAGUUAUCGCUAAGUGGGAAACGAUGUGGGAAGGCUCAGACAGCCAGGAUGUUGGCUUAGAAGCAGCCAUCAUUUAAAGAAAGCGUAAUAGCUCACUGGUCGAGUCGGCCUGCGCGGAAGAUGUAACGGGGCUAAGCGAUACACCGAAGCUGCGGCAAUGCGAUUUAUCGUAUUGGGUAGGGGAGCGUUGUGUAAGCCGUUGAAGGUGUGCUGAGAGGCAUGCUGGAGGUAUCACAAGUGCGAAUGCUGACAUGAGUAACGAUAAWGGGGGUGAAAAACCUCCWCGCCGGAAGACCAAGGGUUCCUGUCCAACGUUAAUCGGGGCAGGGUAAGUCGGCCCCUAAGGCGAGGCCGAAAGGCGUAGUCGAUGGGAAACGGGUUAAUAUUCCCGUACUGCURCUUACUGCGAUGGGGGGACGGAGAAGGCUAGGUGGGCCUGGCGAYGGUUGUCCAGGUUCAAGGGUGUAGGCUGUAAUCUUAGGCAAAUCCGGGAUUACGYACGGUCGAGACCCGAUGUCGAGCCACCAAGGUGGUGAAGUCAUUGAUGCCAUGCUUCCGGGAAAAGCCUCUAAGCUUCAGGUAAGUAGGAACCGUACUCCAAACCGACACAGGUGGUCGGGUAGAGAAUACCAAGGCGCUUGAGAGAACUCGGGUGAAGGAACUAGGCAAAAUGGUACCGUAACUUCGGGAGAAGGUACGCUGCCCAMGGUGAAGUCCCUYGCGGAUGGAGCUAUGGGCAGUCGCAGAUACCAGGUGGCUGCAACUGUUUAUUAAAAACACAGCACUGUGCAAAAUCGAAAGAUGACGUAUACGGUGUGACGCCUGCCCGGUGCCGGAAGGUUAAUUGAUGUGGUUAUCGCAAGAGAAGCCAUUGAUCGAAGCCCCGGUAAACGGCGGCCGUAACUAUAACGGUCCUAAGGUAGCGAAAUUCCUUGUCGGGUAAGUUCCGACCUGCACGAAUGGCGUAAUGAUGGCCACGCUGUCUCCACCCGAGACUCAGUGAAAUUGAAAUCGCAGUGAAGAUGCUGUGUACCCGCGGCUAGACGGAAAGACCCCGUGAACCUUUACUACAGCUUGGCACUGAACAUUGAGCCUACAUGUGUAGGAUAGGUGGGAGGCUUUGAAACGGCGACGCCAGUUGUCGUGGAGCCAUCCUUGAAAUACCACCCUUGUAUGUUUGAUGUUCUAACUUAGCCCCCUAAUCGGGGGUGAGGACAGUGCCUGGUGGGUAGUUUGACUGGGGCGGUCUCCUCCCAAAGCGUAACGGAGGAGCACGAAGGUGGGCUAAUCACGGUCGGACAUCGUGAGGUUAGUGCAAUGGCAUAAGCCCGCUUAACUGCGAGAGUGACGGCUCGAGCAGGUACGAAAGUAGGUCAUAGUGAUCCGGUGGUUCUGAAUGGAAGGGCCAUCGCUCAACGGAUAAAAGGUACUCCGGGGAUAACAGGCUGAUACCGCCCAAGAGUUCAUAUCGACGGCGGUGUUUGGCACCUCGAUGUCGGCUCAUCACAUCCUGGGGCUGAAGUCGGUCCCAAGGGUAUGGCUGUUCGCCAUUUAAAGUGGUACGCGAGCUGGGUUUAGAACGUCGUGAGACAGUUCGGUCCCUAUCUGCCGUGGGCGUUGGAUGAUUGAGGGGAGCUGCUCCUAGUACGAGAGGACCGGAGUGGACGAACCGCUGGUGUUCGGGUUGUGUCGCCAGACGCAUUGCCCGGUAGCUAAGUUCGGCACAGAUAAGCGCUGAAAGCAUCUAAGCGCGAAGCUGGCCCCGAGAUGAGUCAUCCCUAGAGCUUCGAGCUCUCUAAAGGGUUGUCGUAGACUACGACGUUGAUAGGCAGGGUGUGUAAGCGCUGUGAGGCGUUGAGCUAACCUGUACUAAUUGCCCGUGCGGCUUAACCAUACAACACCCAAG